rnacentral:lncRNA from 13 species
GGAGGUGGUGUCCCCACCCUAGGGUUAAGGAAGGGGGACAUACAGGGAGCUAUUGAGGGAGGUGCGGGUUCGGGGAGGAGGGCAGCAGUGAGGUGUGGCUGUAGCCCAGGAACAGUCAAGGAGGCAGACAAUUUUGCUAGGAUAUCCCAGCUUAACAGGGGAACUGGACAAGGGGUGAUAAGGAAAGAAGGUGGAAAGGAGUGCUAGCCUAACUGACACCAGACUUGGGAGUUGUGAGAGCCCUGCAGGCCUUGCCAUCAAUUCCCACAACAGCUUUGGAGGCCAAGGAGACCGGUCCUUGAAAAGAAGGCAGCAUGGAGUGGGUGCCUCUGUGAUGAUUAAGAAGGGAAUGGACUUACUCUUCACCAUAAGAGUUACCUGAAGCUCAGCAUCCGUGAUGGCCCAGGGGGCUUCCAAGGUGUUUGGGCAGCGUCGGUCUUCAGCCACCAAGCCAAGGAGCGGCGGUGAUUUUUUCCAUCAUGAACCUCAAGGAAAGUCUUGUCUUCCUAGUCUCCAGUGAAAGGGAGAGGAAAAUGAAACUGAUAGGAGAAGGAAGUUGACAAGUAGUGAGAAGCGCUAAAGAAGGGAGCUGAAGCAAACCGCUGGUCUGAUCUGAGGAUGAAAUUCACUGAAUCCAGAGAACACCUGAGGUUUUGGGGCUCCUCCCUCCCAUCAUACACUGGAGUGAUUCAAGAUCGUGUAUGGGAAAUGAUCAUUCUAUUUACACUAUGUCAUUUAAACCUUCCUGUUGAGGAACAGUCUUGACUUCUCUCAACAGUCGAUUGGAUCCACAGGAUGAAAAAUGCCAAUGUGUGAGUAGAGAUUCGAACCCUAUUGCUAAACACUAGAUGACCCCUUAGGCUAUUUAUCAAAAGGAUCUGCAC